GAUGUUAUAGUUUAACUAAUAAAAUUUUUAGUUUGAAACUAAAAGAUGGAUGUAAUCCUGGCAUAA